GGAGGCCAAGUCGCCCAAGAAGAAGACCACCACCAAGUCCCCCAAGAAGAAGGUCGCCACCAAGGAGUAGAAUUCCGCAUAGCAUAGCCAUUGUUGCUUAGAUCCAUUUCUCAUGGACAAGAUGAGCAGUCUUUUGGUUAGUUAGACGAGUAGUGGUUCUGUCCUUAGAUUCGCUGAGCAAGGGUGACAUUGUGUCUGUGAUUUCUGUAGGAAUGGCUAAAUAUGCAAUCGUUCAGAUCUUGAUUCUCUUGUUCUAUCAGUGGAUGCAAUUGAUCUUGUUAAUCCUCGCUACCUAUGCUGUUUUGUACCAAAUUCUCACUUCUAUCAUCUGAAAAAUUCCCCAAUUCCUUGCUCUCUAAAUUAUGGCGCUCAAUUUCAAACACUGAUUGUAAAUUCCUUAUGAAGAUCCACACAAUCAUAUUACUAUUGAGCUGCAAAGAAAAAUUUGCACCUGAUGACCAGCUUUCUGUCAGUCAGCAUCACCAUCUUAGACUUGCUCAAGCAUGUACCAGCGAACCACAAAAGCCAUGCCAAGACAUUCCGGCAGUUAAUUUCAGCUUGAUCUUUCCCUCAGUAGUUGAGUUCUUUACAUGUUGUAUUCACAGCCCAAACAAAUUCUUCCGGUUGGAGUUGAGCCGGCCGUAUGCAAAGUGAAGUUUGGGGAGUCAGGUGUACGUAACAAACCACAAACCAGAUUUAUGAUUUAUGAGCCACUAGCCAGAUAAGGUACUAAUUUAGAUUGACCUAAAGAGAAACAAACAUUGAGAAAUUAAGAUAGCAACCAUGCUCAUGUAAGAAAACUGAUAUAGCGAUGUUUCACUUCGUUCCAUCAACAAAAAUAUAUUUUCUGAAAGUAAAAUUGGUAACCACCAUGGAAAUACAACAGGUACAAAUCUCAGUAAAAAACACUUGGAAUUGAACACAUCGAUUCUAUUACAACCGAUUCUUCGCUAAAUCACUUGCAACCAAAACUAGUACCGAGUCCGGGGAAGGUCUUGUGCUAAGGAUAUAGUUUUUGUGUACGCUUCUCUUGUUUUUCAUGCUGUUUUCGUGGAUUUAUAUGGUUUUUCCACUAUAUUUUUCUGUUUGUUACAUUUUUCUUUUGCUGAAUUCUUUAUUGUUUCAUUUUUUAUUUUUCCUCUGUUGUCUCUAUUUAUUUUUCCCAUUGUCGUCUUUUGAAGUUUUCCUUUUUACUUUUUCGUCGACUUUCUCAUAUCUUGUUUUUGUUUUGUCUCAGAUUUUUAGUACUUUUUAGAAAUAUUAAAAUGUUUUCCAAACACAUAAUUUUUUAAAAUGGCACAUACAUGUUUUGUAAAAUAGGUGAAUACUUCAUGACAAAACUUUUCAAAUAACCCGUCACUUUUAAAACAUAAUUAUUUUUUCAACACAGCAACACUUUUAAUAACUACAUGAAUAACUUCUAAGAAUUAUAAGAACAUUUAUUCAAUUUUGUGAACACUUCUAGAAAUUAAGAACAUUUAUUUUAAACAUGGAAAUCUUUUUAGAAUUACAUUAGCACAUAAAACAACUGAACAUAAAUCACAAGAACACUUUUUUAAUCUAUUUGGAUAUUUUUUAAUGUAUAAAUUUAUUUCAACUUUGCAGGAGCACUUUUUAAAAAUAUGUGAACACUUUCUUGUAACUUCAUGAACAUAUUUCAGAAUGGAGCAAAUAAUUUUUAAAAUGAUACUAUAUAAAAUACAUGAAACGUUUAUCUGGUUACUUUAACAAUAGUAAGAAAUGCAUGACUAUUAAUCAAAAAACUUGAUUUUUUAAUAUCUGCAUGAUCAUUUUUUUAAACAUACAAAUAUGUUUUGAAAGCCAUGAACAUUAUCAGAUACAUUUUAUAAAAUUACAUAAAAAGUUUAUCUGUGUGAAAAAACUUGUAGCACACAGAUUUUUAUUUUUUACUUAUUUAAUUUACAUUGUACUUAUAAAAGCGACAAAAAACAUAAAACAAUUGAGGUGAAGAGACUCACUCACGCUCGGCCACUCGCAUCUGGUACUCAGAUUUUUCUCGAUGUUUGGACUCAGCUACUCCCUCCAUUCCAUUUCUUGUCGUAGUUUUAGUUCAAAUUUACUGCUUACCAGUUAACUAUACCUUUGCGUUGCAUACAUGGGCUAGUACAAAAUAGAACAUACGCUCGCGGCGCGUGUUUUGAACACUAUACCACCAUUGGCGCCUGCUUGUAAUUACGAUGCUCAGUUGGACGGUGCCCCAAUAGGGAUUGCUCGCUCGCUCUGCCCAAUGUAACAGUGCCAUUCGCAAAGGCUAUAUCUCUGUUACUGUUUCUCGCAAAAAAUACAUUUCUUUUUUAUUGCAAUGAAAAGGGAGUUUUAUUCCAUAUUUAUUGGGUUACAAUCAAAGAGGCAAUAAUUCCUCAAUACAUGGAGGUGUGUGACCUAGUCACACCUCGGUGGCAUGUUCCGAACGACUAUAUACAACCAGUCGAUCUGUUGCACUAUUUUGAUCUCGUCUAAGUUUCUGAGGAUGUAGCAUGUACUCACCUCUGGCGGCGCUUGGGGUGCUCACAUCUUAGUGGGCCAGUCCAUUGAACCCAUUUUGGGGCGGUUCUCAGAAUUGGGUUUUAGAACCUUCCUUGCAGUUUUUUAUUUUUGUUUUUCUAUGUAUCAAAUACUGUACAUGAACAACAUUUUUCAAAUACAUGUUAUGAAAACAGGUUAAAUAUUUUUCAAACACAUGUUGACUAUUUUUUUGAAUGGUAUGAAACAUUUCUUAAAAAAUACAUGAAGAAUUUUCGUACAAUAUAUAAACAUUUUCUGAAAUAUAGGUUUGAAUGUUCUUAUGACUACAUUAAAACUUUUUGCAAAUUCAUGGGAAUUUUUCCAAUGAUACGAAACAAAAAAUUUAAACUAUGUGAUCAUUUUUAUUCAUUGUAUAACCAUUUCUUAAAAUUAUCAUAAACUUAUUUCUGAAAUAUGUGAACAGUUUUUUAAAUUUCACAAUUUCUUUAGAAUGGAACGACUUUUUAAAAGAUACACAUAUAUUUUUUCCAUUGUUCAAACAUUUAAAAAAAUGGUAAGUACAUUUUUUUGAAACACACAAACAAUUUGAAAUUGUCACGACCAUCUUAUUGAAUAAUAUAACAUUUUUUAAAAAUCAUGCAAACAAAUGUUUUAUAUUGUGUUAGCAUUUUCUAAAUGCUAGAGCGGUAUUUAAAAAAAUUCAAGUUAGUUAAUUGUUGAAUAUAUAUAUAUAUAUUACUAUGUUUUCAAAAUCAUAAAAAGGUAAAAAAGAAGAUGGAAAAAAACAAUGAAACAAAUGAAACUAACGAACCUAACACUAUUGGGUCAGCCCACCAUACGUCGUGCUUAAGGCGAGGUGUUGUUGGUCUUGUAGAAGCGAGAGAAAGCAUCACACUGCCCAAUAUAGAGCAUCUUCAACUGCUAACAAGGAUUAUAUAGCGCUUAUUGCGAGAAGUUCCGAAUAAGUAGGGUCAAUAGUUCAGCAUUUAGGCCGUAACAUUUAGCAAAAAAGGAAUCUUAGACCCAACAAGUGCUCUCCGAACCUCACCAACCAACCUGGAUUUUGAUUCUUUCUUGUUAUUCUAACCGGAUAUAAAAACCAUAAGGAUUGUUUCCAGCCGAGAGUACCCAUAUGACAUAAGCGCUCUUAGGUGGGGUGGGCCCUCAUUCUCCAGGUCUUUGAGUGCCCGGCAUACCACGUGGUUGGUACACUAGGCGAAUAGAUACUUACUUUAAGGAUUUGGCACCUUCGCUAGAUGGAGAGUAAGCGACUUCUAUUAGCACAGGACCAUCGAGUCAAAUUUCUCGUGUCAUGUGCUUAGCCUCACCACUAGCGAAGUAGCCGACUCAUUAAACCACUUUUAGGGACGGGAAUACAUAGAAAAGAAAGAAACAAACCAAACCAAACGAAUAAACGAACAAACUUACAACUGGGUCAGCCCACUAGGGAGCGAGAUAUAGCCUUUGUCCCUGACGGGACCUCCUAUUUCACCGGAGGCAACACGCACCAUGUGUGUGUUGAUGGGCCGGCUCAUUAGCAUUAUACUGUAGCAAGCCGGAAAGCAAUCGAGUUUUCUUGCUGAUGUAUUGUAGCGAACCAAUGAACUGUAGAAAACCAGUGUACUGUAUGUAGCGAGCCAAUUUAUAUCAGCAACAGAUGCACUAUAUCGACCGAGAUAAUGUAGCAAGCAUUUUUAAAAUUUUGAGAACAUUUUAUUGAAACUGUGAACAAUUUUUGAAAACACAAACAACUUUUAAAACGCUGAACAAUUUUUGAAAGAUUUGAUAGUUUUCUUUUUUAAAGGAUUUUUAGCAAUUCCAUCCAUUAAAAAAAUUAAUUACAAAACUUUUAAAAGAAUAUGAACAUUUUUCUCAAAAUUUGAACAUUUUUUAAGUUCCAAUUUUUUAACGGUAUGAUUUUUAAAAGAAAUUCUAAACAUUGUAUUAAAUAACAAGGAUGGAUUGUCAUCUAGCUACUGCCAUGUACCCAUAGUCCAAAGAAAACUACUCAUGUGAAAUUAUGGUAGUAGCAAGGUUUAUGUUGAUGGCCGCCGUGAUGAAUUCCCUCAUGGAGAGUAUGGGAAAAUGCAUAUAGAUUGGAUCACAGCGGGACAUAGAGGUGUGGCUGUGAAUUGUUUGCCUCUAUAUAAAAUCGGUGUUUUUUCGCAAUUAUAAAGGUGGAGGUGCCGAGAGGUGGUGGAGCGGAGUCCCAUGGGGCCUACGCAGACACCCCUCGCAUCGUGGAGCCCAUAGGACUCUCCAAGCGGGGCUAGGUGCCUCUGGAAGCUUCUAGACUUGAAUCAUUUUUGGGAAUUCCCCCCCUUUCUGAGCUUGUGAAAAUUGAUUUUACUUAAAAGCCCAAAACUACAAAAAACGACAUAUUGCCCUUGGACCGAAUUAAUAGGUUAGUUCAAAAAAAAAAUUGGUGCUAAAACUAUGGAAAUAACGUAAUUUUAUUAUGAAACAAGCAAAAAUUAUGCACACUUCUAAGACAUAUGAAAAGCACUCGAGUGUAAAUACCAAGAAUUCGCGACAAAAUCAGGGAACCUCGGGAUGGCUGUGAGUACAGAUGGACUAAAUUCGUUUGUGAACUAGCACAUCACAUACCACAUGGCGUGUGUUUGUAUGGUUAUACAACCCCAUGGCUCUAUGUAAAGCGGAAGUAUAUAUACACAUGGUUAUGCUAAUUCAAGGGCCGACACAACCGAGGAAUAAUAUUAACUUGUAUCUCCAGCUAUUGAAGGAUGAUGUACACAUCAUGAGCUGCUCGAGGGGUCAAUACCUGGGAUGCCUACGAAGGGGAUCAUUUCCCUAUAAGAGUUGCAUUGAUCACGAUGGUGCAAUGCUAUCUUGGUUAUGUAUAUGUCUCCUGCAAGUAUGCCAUGGACACUGCAAAUGUGUUUACGUGCAUGGAUGAUACAACUUUUGACGAGACAUCAAAAGCUAGCUCUUGCAAAAUUGUUUUCAUGGGGCAUUGAAGGUGGCUUCAGAAGGAUGAAGUGGAUAACUCGCAAAGAUCUGUUCGACAGUAAAACUCAAGACCGAUUAAAGUCACGUACAAGAAGCAGAGAAAAAAAUCCGCCACAUGUUGAACGACGGAACUAGUGCCUUAAGUUAGGAUAGAAGCGAAAGGCCCCAGAGAAGUCAUUGUUAACAGUAUGAAAAAGGGAGUCUGCUUUUUGGGGCUUGUCGUAUUGGAUAGUCCUCGAUGCACCUCGUUGCCUUGAUGUCAUGCAGCUCACAAUGAAUGUCUGCGAGAGUUUGCUCGGCACAUAGUUUGACAUGUCGAAAAAAGAAAAAAAUGGAUUGAAGGCAAGAUAAGACUUGGAAGACCUCGGUAUUAGGGCUGAGUUGCAUGCAUAUCAUGAGUAGAGGAAACAGUCACGUGCAAAAAUAUUUCCAAAAUUCAAGGAUGACAACUCCCUCCCCCUCCCCCCCCCACACACACUCACUUUACUCUAGAUGAGAAGGAGCCCAGUCAAGUUUUCAAUUGUCUUCAAGGUAUCAAAGUUGGUUCCACUUACUUAGGUAGUAUAUGCAGAUAUGUGCGGUUAAUGGACAAAUGUUCAGCGGGAUGAAGUCUCAUGAUUGUCGCGAUCAUGACACAAAUACUUCCGUUUGCUGUUAGAGGCGUAACAGAUAAGCGCGUCCGCAAAACACUUCUUGUCCUAUGUAAUUUUUUCGAUAUUAUCUCUCCAAAGUCGAUCAACUUAGAAGUGCAAGGCUACACGAGGAAAACAUUAUCAUAUUACGUGAGCUUGAGAACUACUUCCCACCCGCACUCUUUGAUGUUAUGGUUAUAAUCCCCAAGUGCAAAGACUAUUGCAACACUUGCCAAAGUGGAGGUGGUACAUAUGAAGUGUCAAUAUCACAGAGGAGCUAAAGGUAGGAAUCAUAUUCUCUCAAGUUCUAUCUGACACUCACAUAAUCCUACAUGUAUUAAAUGUUGUUUUACCUGGACUUUCUACUAAAGAUACUCCCUCUGUUCCUAAAUAUAAGUCUUUUUAGAGAUUUCAAUGCGGACUACAUACAUAGCAAAAUGAGUGAAUCUACACUAUAAAAUAUGUCUAUAUACAUCCGCAUGUAGUCUUUGUUAAAAUAUCUAAAAAGACUUAUAUUUAGAAACGGAGGGAGUAGUUUGCAAGUUUCUGAGAGGGCGAAUGUGGGGUAGUGGUGGAAGGUGUUGCAAAAUUGUUGCUCACCAAUUGUCUAUGAUACCGGAUCGAUAAUCAUACAUUUUCCAGUUUCAUACGUAGGAGAGGCCUAUGCUAACAUGCAGUAACAUCCAUUGACAUCAUGUUCUUAUUGAUAAACCUUAGCAAGCAUCCGCAAGUACGAAGAAUUUAUUAAGUUAAAGCCCAACCAUAAGAUCUAUGGGUCCCGUGUAUCCCAUAUGCAUGAACUCUUAUACUCACGUGAAAGUGAUAGCAUUGCUUUCUCGAUGCUAAAAAAAUGUUUAAGUCUUUACCCUAAAAAUUUGCAGAUAGCAUUUUGGUGUGACAAUGAACACAUCUAUUUUUUUUUACAUUUGCAAAAUACAUUUUGUGUGCGCAUGAGCGUACGCUCACUAGAGCCAAAUUGGAUUUCUGUGCAAAAAACAUGCAUAUAUAUGGCGCAGAAAGUGAAUCAAGUGCUAAAACAAAAUCUCUGCGCUCUGAUUGGUCGGUAGGACCGUCCCACGGAUCGCGCCCCCCAUACUAAUCUCCACCGUCCACUACGCCAAGAUCCAACGGCGAGCGCAGCAUGUCACGCGGAUCGCUCCCACCUCUGCUUCCCGAUAAAACCCGCGCCCACGCCGCCGUUCCAACUCACAAACUCAGAGCAUUCCGAUCCAGCACAACCGCCGCCAACACAACACCUCGAGAGUCCUCGCCGCCGGAGAAGUCGCAAGCAAGAUGGCCGGAAGGAAGGGCGGCGACAGGAAGAAGGCGGUGACCCGCUCCGUCAAGGCCGGGCUCCAGUUCCCCGUCGGCCGCAUCGGGCGUUACCUCAAGAAGGGCCGCUACGCCCAGCGCGUCGGCUCCGGCGCCCCCGUUUACCUCGCCGCCGUCCUCGAGUACCUCGCCGCGGAGGUAUGCACAGAUCUUUCCUCUCCCCGAGCACCUGCUCUGCUCUGUUCUUCUCGUUUUCGAUGGAUUGCUGACUUCGUUUCUGAUGGUCUUUUAAAAUCUCAGGUCCUGGAGCUUGCCGGCAACGCGGCCAAGGACAACAAGAAGACCCGCAUCAUCCCGCGCCACCUGCUGCUCGCCGUCCGCAACGACCAGGAGCUCGGUAGGCUGCUCGCCGGCGUCACCAUCGCCCACGGCGGCGUGAUCCCCAACAUCAACUCCGUGCUGCUCCCCAAGAAGUCCCCCGCCGCCGCCGAGAAGGAGGCCAAGUCGCCCAAGAAGAAGACCACCGCCAAGUCCCCCAAGAAGAAGGUCGCCGCCAAGGAGUAGCCGCCCGCACCCAUAGCCUAGCCAGUGUUGCUUAGAUCCAUUUCUCAUGGACUAAGAUGAGAUCCUGUAUGUAAUGCCUGCUAGUCUGUAGUGCCCGUCAGAUUCGUCGAGCAUGGGUGACAUUGUACCUGUGAUUUCUGUGACCAUGGCGAAAGAUGCAAUCAUUUCAGUCUGUUGUUCUAUCUAUGGCUGCAAUCAUUUCAAUCUCUUGUUCUACCUAUGGAUGCAAUUGAUCUUGCG
rnacentral:lncRNA from 1 species